UAAGAAGGAUAAUCCCAGAAUAUCCCUAAGC
rnacentral:piRNA from 1 species